rnacentral:lncRNA from 1 species
AGGGCCUCACCACCAACUUCAUCCACGUUCACCUUGCCCCACAGGGCAGUAACGGCAGACUUCUCCUCAGGAGUCAGAUGCACCAUGGUGUCUGUUUGAGGUUGUCCAGGUGAGCCAGGCCAUCACUAAAGGCACCUAGCACCUUCUUGCCAUGAGCCUUCACCUUAGGGUUGCCCAUAACAGCAUCAGGAGAGGACAGAUCCCCAAAGGACUCAAAGAACCUCUGGGUCCAAGGGUAGACCACCAGUAAUCUGAGGGUAGGAAAACAGCCCAAGGGACAGAGAGUCAGUGCCUAUCAGAAACCCAAGAGUCUUCUCUGUCUACACAUGCCCAGUUUCCAUUUGCCUCCUUGAGCCUCU